AUUGAACGCUGGCGGCAUGCCUUACACACGCAAGUCGAACGGCAGCAUGAUCUAGCUUGCUAGAUUGAUGGCGAGUGGCGAACGGGUGAGUAAUACAUCGGAACGUGCCCUGUAGUGGGGGAUAACUAGUCGAAAGACUAGCUAACACCGCAUACGACCUGAGGGUGAAAGUGGGGGACCGCAAGGCCUCAUGCUAUAGGAGCGGCCGAUGUCUGAUUAGCUAGUUGGUGAGGUAAAGGCUCACCAAGGCGACGAUCAGUAGCUGGUCUGAGAGGACGAUCAGCCACACUGGGACUGAGACACGGCCCAGACUCCUACGGGAGGCAGCAGUGGGGAAUUUUGGACAAUGGGGGCAACCCUGAUCCAGCAAUGCCGCGUGUGUGAAGAAGGCCUUCGGGUUGUAAGCACUUUUGUCCGGAAAGAAAUCGCACUUACUAAUAUUAGGUGUGGAUGACGGUACCGGAAGAAUAAGGACCGGCUAACUACGUGCCAGCCGCCGCGGUAAGAC
rnacentral:rRNA from 1 species